AGUGUGUUUUCAUUCUGAGGACCCAGUGGCCUUCAGAAAAGAGCCUGGUGGAGCAAACUUAUUCUGCCUGUCAAGGGUCAUGCUUUGAAGGAAGAGCAGAUGUUUGUGGUCUGAUCUUCCUUCUUUCACCCGCCCUGUAGGCUCACUGCAGUUUUGAGCUGACUAACUCAGAAAAGCUGCCAGGUCUCUGAAGUAGGCAACCCACAGAAGCAGUGGAGUUCAGAAGAGGCCUGGUUUGCUGCUGAAUGGAAUCCAGCUUGUCCAAAGUCUUUGCCUCCAUCAGGUCAGAAUCCACUCUCUGCCCCUGUGUGACACAGGAUACCGAGCAAGAUGAACCUACGGUCUGACCCAGUAAAUGGCCAUUCUUAUAUUCUUAUUAAUUAGUCUGAGAAUUGCAGCAAUCUUGAAGAAAACUACUUGUAGUGGCAGGUGCAUCACUGACUAGGAGUUGAUUUUCUGUGGAAAUGCCCUCAAGGACAUUAGAGACUAUGGGCCCAGAGGAACCAAGCUGUUGUGAGACUUAAUUGCUCCAUCUUCAGCUGGUAUAAUGUGGAAACUGAGAGUACAUGCUGCCAGAAGCUUUCAGGCUAUUUCACAAGGAUACCUAUGUCUUUGGGAGGCCUGUUUUCUCUUCCUUUUCAAAGCUGGCAAAUUGCUUAGCUAAAAUGGUCAGGAGGAAGAAGAGAGAAGAAUUGUACUCAUCCUCAGUACCUAUAUUCAUGCUAAUGAUUCAUUGUCUGUGAAGAGAGACUGCAGCUGGAGAGCAGAAGUCUGCAGAAAUGGAGAAUGCCUUUAUCUUUUCUUCUGAAUCCUCUAUAGCAGAAUGAAAACAAAUGUCAAAAUCUUCAGAAUUGCCAUGAAAUGGGUUUUGUCAUUCUUCUCUAGUUCAUUGACAAUGAUGCACCAUAUUCUGGAUGGCUUUCCGGAGAUGUACAGCAGAGAUCGAUGGACCCCAAAAGUUUAUUUUUUCUGCUAAUAACGUGAUAAAAAAUAUUCACAGUCUGGAUUUUGCAGUUGUAAUCACUAAACGUUUCUAGCAACAUUUUGCCAAGUGGCAAUUUUGCAUAAAAAAUUCCAUCCAAAUUCUAGAAGUGAUGUAUGGUUUGAUCAUCUUUAGAAUCAGUCCCAAUCAUAAAAGAUGACUUUUGCACAAGGUCAAACCCCUCCAAGAGUUAAGUUUAUGAAAUUAUUUUGGCAGGCACUGGACAACUUCCAGAUCUUUUUCCUAGAACAUUAAACCAUAGUGACUCCAGUCGAGGGGAAAAUGUACUCAUGAAUGAUCCUUGCUACACCUUUGGAAAUAGCAUACAGUUCCUCCUGCUGCUGACUGGCUUGCAUGGUGAGGUAAUAUGGCAUAGCUUUUAGAGAACUAAGUACUGUUAUCAAUGAAAGUAACCAACUAUGUUUAGAAGACAAACAUCUUAUAAACACCAACUGCACAGGACUGCUGAAAGGUAUAGGUAAUGUUGCCUGUCUUGCUGCCUAAUCCAUUCAAAGAGGAAGCCAUAAUUUGGUCUCAUGUAGCUCUGUGGUCCUCAGAUGGAAAGCAUAAUAGAUUCAUAUAGUAUUAUUUAUAAAACAUGUUGUCUAUAAAUAGAAAUAUCAGUUUACAUUUAAAUUACUUUUGCCAAACAACUUCUUCAGCAUGUUAUGAAUGAUGAAUAGCUUUUGGGAUUUAGAUCCCAAGGCUGGUAAAGUAUGUGCAGGAGUUUUGAACAUACUGUACCCAUCACUUUUCCGUCAGUCCUUCCCUGUCACCAUGUGAUUGUGAUAAUAUAUGCAUCACAUUUUAUGAUACCGCACUUUGGAAAAAAAAGGUUUAUUUACAAGUUGCAUUCAGUGUCAUUCCCACAAAUGAUUAAGUCCUAAUUAAGCAAUGAUUUUUCUGAGUGAUUUUUGCAAAAAAGGGAAACAAAAAUUGGCUGCAUGUUUUCAGCAAUUUUUGCAUGAAGAGUAGAUCAAAAUUAAGUAAUUUGUUUUCUUUGAUACUGUGGCAGAGCACAGGGUGUCUCUGCCACUUUAAGGGCCUGGAGCUGGCAGCCUCCAGGUGCCUGAUUAGGGCAGCCAUUUUGAGGCUUAGGCUGCAUAUAUAAACAAGGCAGUUUGGCUGCAGGAGGCCAGGCAGCAACAUUGCCUGGCUGUAGGGUUGCUGUGAAUGACCCUGGAGGUAAGGGGGAGCUGCAAGGGGUUGGCAAGGAGCCUCCUGGUCCUGGGCAUGACCUGAAACUGCACCCUGCCGGGAGUGGGUGGUCUGGUGGGGCUCUCAGUGGCGCAGGAGCCCCCAGGAAAUACCAGGCCAGUGAUCACCCCAGUGAAAGGCGGGUCGGGGCGCCUUAACCCCUAGCUCCCACCACCACCGGGUGGGUGACCCUGCAUAUGUGGAGGGGCCCAGAGGGCGGACCCCAAGAGAGUGAUUGAUUACCGGGCAUGAUGCUGCGGUGACCCCGGGAAAAAGGGGGUAGUAGUGCGAUGAGCCCGAAGAGAGAGUGAGGGGCUAGAGACCCAGCCUGAAGGGGAUAGUACCCUCGACUGGCACAUGCUGGGGCCAGGACCACAAGGGUCAAAAGGGCCGGGGGCCCACCGCGAGGGACGCCCAAGAGCCAGGGGCCUGAGGUCCCAACUGGCCUUGAGGUGGGCCAGGGCAAGAGGCCGAAGGUUCCGGGUAAACCACACGCGAGAGGGGAACAUGGCUUCGGGGGGGGCGAGGUAGCCUGGAUGACAGCAGAGUGGCCGCCUGAUAGGAAGGAUCAGAGAGGGGUCCUGUUAGGACGAUUCUGGGGCCCAGUAUGGGGCCGGUGAUUAGGAACACCAUGAUGCCAUCUGCGAGGCUUGGGCUGUGGUAUUAGGGGAGGUCAGAGCCGCAGAGCACCCCUUGGCAUCGGGGCAUUACAAUGAGUAGCCUCCUGCUUAAUUGACAUCGAUAUGCGAAUCAAUUAUCAUCAAAGGCGUGGCAGGUGAGAUAAGUGGGCGGUUGCCCAGAGACAGGUGGGCGGGCCACAAAGAGCUUGGCCCUGAGUAGGCCUCCUGUCACGGUGACAGGCAGGCAGGCCACAGAGUUCGGCCCCAGGAGGCCCCCCUGUCACAGAUACAAUUCCCAAAUUGCUGUAGGUUGCUAAGAACACAAGUCCCACUGAAAGCUGAUGGAUGUGUGCUCCAAAAUCCUUUCUCUGGGAAAGCUCCACCUUUAUUUAUGUGGGAGAUGCACUGAUGGAAAGAUGUAGAGAAGUUGGGCCAAUGGAACCGAAUCACCCAAACUGACAAUGAACCUACUUUUAAGAAGAAUUAAAUAUUAUGCUGUAUAUUUAGACUGCAUUGGAAAGGCUUUUGGAGUGAUGUUUGUUUGGAGUUGUUAUAAUUGAGGACUAGGUGUUCUUUUUUUCCUUUAGCUUCUCCUUGUUCAAGUUUAAAAGUGGAUAUACAGAAACCCAUGCUUGUGUUUUGCACAUAUAAUCUCCUGUAAAGUUCAGACAAGGUUCCUUGGGUGAAUUUGAUAUCUUUUAUUAGACCAACCCAAAUGGUUGGAGAAUAGUUAUUAAG